GGGCAACACUGAGGUGGGAUGGGUACAGAGGGAUGGUGGUGAGGUCCGGAGACAGCGAGGAGGAGGUUUUUUCACGACAAGGGAGGAACAGGAAUCUGGAUACAAAAUGGGCCUUCUGCUGGGAACUCUUAAGACCGUCCGUUUGCUCACUGGAGGAGAUAAUGAAACAUGGCAACUGAGAAAAAAAGUAGCAAGCACCCUGGUUAAUCCUGCAGCGAUGGACCGAG